CCUACGGGGGGCAGCAGUAGGGAAUAUUGCUCAAUGGGGGAAACCCUGAAGCAGCAACGCCGCGUGGAGGAUGAAGGUUUUCGGAUUGUAAACUCCUUUUGUUAGAGACGAUAAUUUCGGUAUCUCACAAAUAAGCCCCGGCUAACUCCGUGCCAGCCGCCGCGGUCAUACGGAGGGUGCAAACGUUUCUCGGAAUCACUGGGCGUAAAGAGAGCGUAGGCGGGAUAGCAAGUCAGAUGUGAAAUCCUUUGGCUUAACCAUAGAACUGCAUUUGAAACUGUGAUUCUAGAGUAUGGGAGAGGUAGGUGGAAUUCUUGGUGUAGGGGUGAAAUGCGUAGAGA
rnacentral:rRNA from 1 species